GACGAACGCUGGCGGCGUGCCUAAUACAUGCAAGUGGGACGCAAGGAAACACACUGUGCUUGCACACCGUGUUUUCUUGAGUCGCGAACGGGUGAGUAACGCGUAGGUAACCUGCCUAUUAGCGGGGGAUAACUAUUGGAAACGAUAGCUAAUACCGCAUAAUAUUAAUUAUUGCAUGAUAAUUGAUUGAAAGAUGCAAGCGCAUCACUAGUAGAUGGACCUGCGUUGUAUUAGCUAGUUGGUAAGGUAAGAGCUUACCAAGGCGACGAUACAUAGCCGACCUGAGAGGGUGAGCGGCCACACUGGGACUGAGACACGGCCCAGACUGCUACGGGAGGCAGCAGUAGGGAAUCUUCGGCAAUGGACGAAAGUCUGACCGAGCAACGCCGCGGGAGUGAAGAAGGGUGUCGGAUCGGAAAGCUCUGUUGUAAGUCAAGAACGUGUGUGAGAGUGGAAAGUUCACACAGUGACGGUAGCUGACCAGAAAGGGACGGCUAACUACGUG
rnacentral:rRNA from 1 species